GACGAACGCUGGCGGCGUGCUUAACACAUGCAAGUCGAACGGAAAGGCCCUGCUUUUGUGGGGUUCUCGAGUGGCGAACGGGUGAGUAACACGUGAGUAACCUGCCCUUGACUUUGGGAUAACUUCAGGAAACUGGGGCUAAUACCGGAUAUGAGCUCCUGCUGCAUGGUGGGGGUUGGAAAGUUUCGGCGGUUGGGGAUGGACUCGCGGCUUAUCAGCUUGUUGGUGGGGUAGUGGCUUACCAAGGCGUUGACGGGUAGCCGGCCUGAGAGGGUGACCGGCCACAUGGGGACUGAGAUACGGCCCAGACUCCUACGGGAGGCAGCAGUGGGGAAUAUUGCACAAUGGGCGGAAGCCUGAUGCAGCAACGCCGCGUGCGGGAUGACGGCCUUCGGGUUGUAAACCGCUUGCGCCUGUGACGAAGCGUGAGUGACGGUAAUGGGUAAAGAAGCACCGGCUAACUACGUG
rnacentral:rRNA from 1 species